UGAACGCUGGCGGCGUGCCUAAUACAUGCAAGUCGAGCGAACGGACGAGAAGCUUGCUUCUCUGAUGAUAGCGGCGGACGGGUGAGUAACACGUGGAUAACCUACCUAUAAGACUGGGAUAACUUCGGGAAACCGGAGCUAAUACCGGAUAAUAUUUUGAACCGCAUGGUUCAAAAGUGAAAGACGGUCUUGCUGUCACUUAUAGAUGGAUCCGCGCUGCAUUAGCUAGUUGGUAAGGUAACGGCUUACCAAGGCAACGAUGCAUAGCCGACCUGAGAGGGUGAUCGGCCACACUGGAACUGAGACACGGUCCAGACUCCUACGGGAGGCAGCAGUAGGGAAUCUUCCGCAAUGGGCGAAAGCCUGACGGAGCAACGCCGCGUGAGUGAUGAAGGUCUUCGGAUCGUAAAACUCUGUUAUUAGGGAAGAACAUAUGUGUAAGUAACUGUGCACAUCUUGACGGUACCUAAUCAGAAAGCCACGGCUAACUACGUG
rnacentral:rRNA from 1 species